rnacentral:lncRNA from 1 species
CUGCAGGGAACCCUGUCCCUGCAAAGGUACCCCCAGCAAGCCCAGCAGCCUGGACAUCCCUCCAGCUGCAUCCACGCUGGACACCGGACUGACCCCUUGCACAGGAUGGCGGCAUCACCCAUUCUCAGAGGAAGGUAGGAGACUGUGCUGAAUGUCACCUCCAGGAGCUGUAGGAACAGUCCCUUGACAAGGUCCCAGUGUGCCUUUCUCUGGCCGCCUGGUGUCUGGCUGGGUGUGCUUGGAGAGCACAAACCCAUGCCCUUGUUUGUGGUUUCCUUCAGCUUUGCCCCAGGUUCCCACAGACCGAGGGCACCACUCAGUCACCCCUGGCCCUUCAGUGCACUUGCAGAACUCACAGGUACCUUGGUGGAGCAAGAGCUUGUCAUGUUUGCUUCCCUUCCCUUGCCCAGAGAAUUCACCCAACCAAAGCCAACAGGAGUUUUCCCUGCAGGGAAGGCCAGAGCUGCCACCAAGGAGGGAAGCAGAGCCCCGUGGCUGUGGGAAGGACUGACCCUUUGCAGGCUGACAACAUGGUAAGUGGGUGCAGCUGUUGGAACAGUCCAAACCCUUCCCAACUGUCACCUGGACCUGGAGGCCCUCUUUGGUUGAGGCUGCAAUCCCUUGGAUGAAGUUGUCCCUGUGGAUACAAUUGGUACUUCAUGUUCCUAGGAAGGACCCUCCCCAGCUGGGCAAGCUUUGUGCAGCCCUGGUUUCUGUUGCACUCGGGGCAGCUCUUUCCCAUCCUGUCCAGAGCAAGACAAUGCCAUGACCCAGAUGGGAGUGCAGAGCAGGUCUGGACUGACAGGACAGUCAUCCAUGACCACAUCAGCCUGACAUUCCCUGAUGAUGGCAACGGGAUGAACUCGGAGCAGCUGCACAAAAUACUAAGGCACUGUGCAACCUCUCUGGAGUGCCCAUUAGUGGAGAGAAAGACAAUUCAUAUGGUUGUGACUGUCUUUCCUUUCAGUUGGCAACCAAGAGAAGAGACAGACUCGGCUCCAAUCCUUUGGAGUAUUGAUAAGAGAAGGUAUUGUGGGAAAUGACCCUGUGCCUUUUCUGUUUCUCCUGCCAGAGUCGGUAGGGUUUGGACUGAUCUCUCUUUUAUUUCUCCAGGUAGCAGAGAGGUUUCUUUCCCCUUUAGAAGAGAAGAUAGUGUACAGACCCCCUUAUUAGAGAAGAUAGUGUACUGACCCCUUUAGUAGAGAAGAUAGUGUACAGAGAAGAUAGUAGAGAAGAUAGUGUACCCCUUAUUAGAGAAGAUUGCUCUGCCUGCAGCUGUACCCAU